GAAACCAUAACGACUCUCGGAACGGAUAUCUCGGUCUCGCAUCAUAAGAACGUAC
rnacentral:rRNA from 1 species